rnacentral:lncRNA from 10 species
GUCCGCGGGCCGCCCCAGACCCCCUUUCCCAGGACUGCCUUGGCCCCCUGGCCCCAGUCUGGAGGACUCUUGCUCACUUCCUCCGCCCCCAGCCCACAUUUGGAAGCAACCGGCACCCACGCAGGUUCUGGAACUUGCCAAGGUUCCAGGGGUUGAGCCCACUCCAUCCUGUCCAAAGGCAGAAGCCUCCUCCAAGUCCUGCACGAUCCGCCCUCUAACAUGCAAGCCCAUCUGGAACCUCUGGAAUCCUACUGGGCUUCUUCGCUCCCUAAAGUUUACAGACCCAGGGCAAAAUAGGGAACUGCAAAUCCAAGUGGCCCAGAGGUCUCUCCACCCCCACUCUGCCCUCUCUGGGCCUGAGCCUGACAGGAGAUUCCCAGCACAUCUGGUUGUACUUAAAUCAUCCAGCACUACUGGAGUAGGUUCCCUGCUUCUCUCCCUUCAGCCCCAGCCUCCUCCCCUUCCUACACCAGCCUUCCAGGUCUCUCCUCCAGGAUGCCUUCCCUAACUCAUCCAGCCUCGGUAUCUGCACCCCACCCUUGAACCUCCACCUCUUUGGGUCUGGAGUCUGCCAGGGUGUGGAAGGGAGGGUGUGUGCUCCGCAAGACUCAGUGUGUAGAAUCUCAUCCUUCCCGAGCAUUGGUCCUAGAUAGAAACCUUCCCUUCAGGUAAGGAAGGGAGCCAGCCAAGAGCCUCCCCUCUGCUCCCUUGGCCUCAGGGGUGGCUGUCUCCAGUUAUGGGUGUGUACAGUGGGGAGGAACAAGUUCAGAUCCAGGCAGAGCCAUUCCUUUGGCAACUCUUGCUGUCAGCCAUCUUCCAAAGAGCUUUGCAAAAUGUUAAAGAACAAAAGAGAAAUAAAUACAGAGAAUAUAGCAAGUAUAAAAAUGCACAGUCUAGGCCAGGCACGGUGGCUCACACCUGUAAUCCUAGCACUUUGGGAGGCUGAGGCAGAUGGAUCACUUGAGGUCAGGAAUUUGAAACCAGCCUGGCCAAGAUGGUGAAACCCCAUCUCUACUAAAAAUACAAAAAUUAGCCAGGUGUGGUGGCGGGCACCUGUAGUCCCAGCUAUUUGGGAGGCUGAGGCAGAAGAAUUACUUGAACCCCGGAAGUGGAGGUUGUAGUGAGCCAAGAUCACACCACUGCACCCCAGCCUGGCUGACAAAGCAAGAUUCUGUCUCAAAAAAAAAAAAAAAAAAAAAAAAGAAUGCACGGACUCUAAAGAACAAGUUUGUAACCUACCAUGACCUGCUCCACCAGGGCUCCAGGUUUGAAUGUUCAUUCAUUCUUUUAUUCAAUAGCAUGUACUGAUGCCUGAGUCUACUAAGUUCUAGGAACAGUGACUCAAGUAAGAUCCCAGGGUCAGUGGGGGACAGGAACAGGUGGAUGAACAAAUGCUGCAUGCUGUAAUGGACAUGAGUCAGGGAGACAGAGGGGUGCCAAGGUUGAAGGUCAGAGACCCUGGACUGAAUCCCACCUCUGUCACUUUCUGCACUGUCUCUGGGGAGCCACUUAAUCUUGGGGAGCCUGUCUCCCCACCUGGAAAAGGACGAUGAUGUGACCUCACAGGGUCGUAGUGGGACUCAAAUAAGAUAAUGUGUGUGAAAACGCCUUGCAAAGUGCUAAGUGAGUUGUUGCUAUUAUGAUUAGGCUCAGGGGCUGCCUAUCUGACACUCAUUUUUCUAAUGCCUCAACAGCUGUCUCUCUUACCCUCCCAGGGCAGGUACCACGUUGGAGAAACUUCUGAGGGUGAAGGACACCCACCCUAGAGUAGUGGGCAGUUAAGCUGCCCGCAUAGACACACACACACACACUUUAGUUACACAAGCAGAACACCUUUUUAUAAAAAUUCGAAAGGCAUCAUGUGCCUACAGCCUCAGUUACUCAGGAGGCCGAGGCAAGAGGAUUGCAUGAGUCCUGGGCAACAGAGUGAAACCCAUUUCUACUAUUUAAAAAACACUAAUAAGAAAAAAUAGAUAAGCAGAAAACAAAAAAAUUAAAAAUCCAACGCCUUUAAUCCCACCACCCAGAGAUAACCACCAGUAAUAUGUUGGAGUCAGUUAGCCGGUCACAGUGGUGGGGGGCCUGUGGUCCCAGCUACUCGGGAGACUAAGGUGGGAGGAUUGCUUGAGCCAGGGAGAUUGAGGCUGCAGUGAGCCGUGAUUGCGCCAAUGCACUCCACCCUGGGCAACAAAGCAAGACCCCAUUUCAAAACAAAACAAACAAAAAACCAUUUUGGAGUCAGCUAGAUAUUAUUCUAUUUAUCUCUCUCUACACACACACACACACACACACACACACACACACACACACACACACACAUAUGUAUAUAUAGAGAGAUCUCCACAGUGUUUUAUAAUAUACUUUUCUUAAUAGACAAUUUUUUUUUUUGAGAGGGAGUCUUGCUCUGUUGCCCAGGCUGGAGUGCAGUGGUGUGAUCGCGGCUCACUGCAACCUCCACCUCCCAGGUUCAAGCAAUUCUCCUGCCUCAGCCUCCUAAGUAGCUGGGAUUACAGGCAUGUGCCACCACAGCUGGCUGAUUUUGGCAUUUUUAGUAGAGACGGGUUUCACCAUGUUGACCAGUCUGGUCUCAAACUCCUGACCUCAAGUGAUCCACCUGCCUUGGCCUCCCAAAGUGCUGGGAUUACAGGCGUGAGCCACCGCACCCAGACAAUGGACAAAUAUUUUGAACAUCUUUUGCUGUCUAUAAUACGUUUAUACCACACAAUUGUUAAUGACAGCUUAAUAUUCCAUCAAGUGGACAUGUCUAAAUUAAUUUAAAAAGUUUCCUGGCCAGGUGCGGUGGCUCUUGCCUGUAAUCCCAGCACUUUGGGAGGCCAAGGCGGGCGGAUCAUGAGGUCAGGAGUUUGAGACCAGCCUGGCCAACAUGAUGAAACCCCAUCUCUACUCAAAAUACAAAAGUUAGGUGGGCAUGGUGGCGCACUCCUGUAGUCCCAGCUACUAGGCAGGCUGAGGCAGGAGAAUAGCUUGAACCUGGGAGGCAGAGGUAGCAGUGAGCCAAGAUCUCACCUCUGCAUUCAAGCCUGGGCAACAGAGUAAGACUCUUCUGGAAAAAAAAAAAAAAGUUUCCUUUGUUGUUGAUUUUUUUCCAGAAAUAAAAGCUUCAUGAACAAACCUGUAACUUCCACCUUUGUGCACGCGUCUAAUUAUUGCCUUAGGAUAAAGUUCUGGUAACCAGAGGCUAGGAAUGCAUAUUUUUAUCUCUGAGGAGCCAGGAGCCCAGGCCUCUGGGCAGUGCUCUCACCUCUCCUCCAGGCAGCCCUCCCAGACCUCCAGGGUUGAGUACAUCUCCCAUGGUCCUUUCCUCUCCAAGUAACUUCAUC